GAUGAACGCUGGCGGCGUGCCUAAUACAUGCAAGUCGAGCGAACAGACGAGGAGCUUGCUCCUCUGACGUUAGCGGCGGACGGGUGAGUAACACGUGGAUAACCUACCUAUAAGACUGGGAUAACUUCGGGAAACCGUAGCUAAUACCGGAUAAUAUAUUGAACCGCAUGGUUCAAUAGUGAAAGACGGUUUUGCUGUCACUUAUAGAUGGAUCCGCGCUGCAUUAGCUAGUUGGUAAGGUAACGGCUUACCAAGGCAACGAUGCGUAGCCGACCUGAGAGGGUGAUCGGCCACACUGGAACUGAGACACGGUCCAGACUCCUACGGGAGGCAGCAGUAGGGAAUCUUCCGCAAUGGGCGAAAGCUUGACGGAGCAACGCCGCGUGAGUGAUGAAGGUCUUCGGAUCGUAAAACUCUGUUAUUAGGGAAGAACAAAUGUGUAAGUAACUAUGCACGUCUUGACGGUACCUAAUCAGAAAGCCACGGCUAACUACGUG
rnacentral:rRNA from 1 species